GGGUUGUGAGGUUAAGCGACUAAGCGUACACGGUGGAUGCCCUGGCAGUCAGAGGCGAUGAAGGACGUGCUAAUCUGCGAAAAGCGUCGGUAAGGUGAUAUGAACCGUUAUAACCGGCGAUGUCCGAAUGGGGAAACCCAGUGUGAUUCGUCACACUAUCGUUAACUGAAUACAUAGGUUAACGAGGCGAACCGGGGGAACUGAAACAUCUAAGUACCCCGAGGAAAAGAAAUCAACCGAGAUUCCCCCAGUAGCGGCGAGCGAACGGGGAGCAGCCCAGAGUCUGAAUCAGCUUGUGUGUUAGUGGAACGGUCUGGAAAGUCCGACGGUACAGGGUGAUAGUCCCGUACACCAAAAUGCACAGGCUGUGAACUCGAAGAGUAGGGCGGGACACGUGGUAUCCUGUCUGAAUAUGGGGGGACCAUCCUCCAAGGCUAAAUACUCCUGACUGACCGAUAGUGAACCAGUACCGUGAGGGAAAGGCGAAAAGAACCCCGGCGAGGGGAGUGAAAAAGAACCUGAAACCGUGUACGUACAAGCAGUGGGAGCACCUUCGGGUGUGACUGCGUACCUUUUGUAUAAUGGGUCAGCGACUUAUAUUCUGUAGCAAGGUUAACCGUAUAGGGGAGCCGCAGGGAAACCGAGUCUUAACUGGGCGUUAAGUUGCAGGGUAUAGACCCGAAACCCGGUGAUCUAGCCAUGGGCAGGUUGAAGGUUGGGUAACACUAACUGGAGGACCGAACCGACUAAUGUUGAAAAAUUAGCGGAUGACUUGUGGCUGGGGGUGAAAGGCCAAUCAAACCGGGAGAUAGCUGGUUCUCCCCGAAAGCUAUUUAGGUAGCGCCUCGUGAAUUCAUCUUCGGGGGUAGAGCACUGUUUCGGCUAGGGGGUCAUCCCGACUUACCAACCCGAUGCAAACUACGAAUACCGAAGAAUGUUAUCACGGGAGACACACGGCGGGUGCUAACGUCCGUCGUGAAGAGGGGAAACAACCCAGACCGCCAGCUAAGGUCCCAAAGUCAUGGUUAAGUGGGAAACGAUGUGGGAAGGCACAGACAGCCAGGAUGUUGGCUUAGAAGCAGCCAUCAUUUAAAGAAAGCGUAAUAGCUCACUGGUCGAGUCGGCCUGCGCGGAAGAUGUAACGGGGCUAAACCAUGCACCGAAGCUGCGGCAGCGACACUAUGUGUUGUUGGGUAGGGGAGCGUUCUGUAAGCCUGCGAAGGUGACCUGUGAGGGUUGCUGGAGGUAUCAGAAGUGCGAAUGCUGACAUAAGUAACGAUAAAGCGGGUGAAAAGCCCGCUCGCCGGAAGACCAAGGGUUCCUGUCCAACGUUAAUCGGGGCAGGGUGAGUCGACCCCUAAGGCGAGGCCGAAAGGCGUAGUCGAUGGGAAACAGGUUAAUAUUCCUGUACUUGGUGUUACUGCGAAGGGGGGACGGAGAAGGCUAUGUUAGCCGGGCGACGGUUGUCCCGGUUUAAGCAUGUAGGCUGGUUGUCCAGGCAAAUCCGGAUAAUCAAGGCUGAGGUGUGAUGACGAGGCACUACGGUGCUGAAGUAACAAAUGCCCUGCUUCCAGGAAAAGCCUCUAAGCAUCAGGUAACAUCAAAUCGUACCCCAAACCGACACAGGUGGUCAGGUAGAGAAUACCAAGGCGCUUGAGAGAACUCGGGUGAAGGAACUAGGCAAAAUGGUGCCGUAACUUCGGGAGAAGGCACGCUGGUGUGUAGGUGAAGUCCCUGCGGAUGGAGCUGAGACCAGUCGAAGAUACCAGCUGGCUGCAACUGUUUAUUAAAAACACAGCACUGUGCAAACACGAAAGUGGACGUAUACGGUGUGACGCCUGCCCGGUGCCGGAAGGUUAAUUGAUGGGGUUAUCCGUAAGGAGAAGCUCUUGAUCGAAGCCCCGGUAAACGGCGGCCGUAACUAUAACGGUCCUAAGGUAGCGAAAUUCCUUGUCGGGUAAGUUCCGACCUGCACGAAUGGCGUAAUGAUGGCCAGGCUGUCUCCACCCGAGACUCAGUGAAAUUGAACUCGCUGUGAAGAUGCAGUGUACCCGCGGCAAGACGGAAAGACCCCGUGAACCUUUACUAUAGCUUGACACUGAACAUUGAGCCUUGAUGUGUAGGAUAGGUGGGAGGCUUUGAAGCGUGGACGCCAGUCUGCGUGGAGCCAACCUUGAAAUACCACCCUUUAAUGUUUGAUGUUCUAACGUUGGCCCUUACCGGGGUUGCGGACAGUGUCUGGUGGGUAGUUUGACUGGGGCGGUCUCCUCCCAAAGCGUAACGGAGGAGCACGAAGGUUAGCUAAUCCUGGUCGGACAUCAGGAGGUUAGUGCAAUGGCAUAAGCUAGCUUGACUGCGAGCGUGACGGCGCGAGCAGGUGCGAAAGCAGGUCAUAGUGAUCCGGUGGUUCUGAAUGGAAGGGCCAUCGCUCAACGGAUAAAAGGUACUCCGGGGAUAACAGGCUGAUACCGCCCAAGAGUUCAUAUCGACGGCGGUGUUUGGCACCUCGAUGUCGGCUCAUCACAUCCUGGGGCUGAAGUAGGUCCCAAGGGUAUGGCUGUUCGCCAUUUAAAGUGGUACGCGAGCUGGGUUUAGAACGUCGUGAGACAGUUCGGUCCCUAUCUGCCGUGGGCGCUGGAGAAUUGAGGGGGGCUGCUCCUAGUACGAGAGGACCGGAGUGGACGCAUCACUGGUGUUCGGGUUGUCAUGCCAAUGGCACUGCCCGGUAGCUAAAUGCGGAAGAGAUAAGUGCUGAAAGCAUCUAAGCACGAAACUUGCCCCGAGAUGAGUUCUCCCUGAGACUUUAAGUCUCCUGAAGGAACGUUAAAGACGAUGACGUUGAUAGGCCGGGUGUGUAAGCGCAGCGAUGCGUUGAGCUAACCGGUACUAAUGAACCGUGAGGCUUAACCUUACAACGCCGAAG
rnacentral:rRNA from 1 species